rnacentral:rRNA from 1 species
GAUGAACGCUGGCGGCAUGCCUAAUACAUGCAAGUCUAGCGAACAUACGAUGAGCUUGCCGCUCGGACGUGUGCCGCGUACGGGUGAUUAACACGUGUAUAGCAUACCUUUAAGAAUGGAAUAACUUCGCGAGACCGUAUCUAAUUCGGGAUAAUAUAGUUAAUCACAGGUUUAAAUAGUGAGAGAGGGUUUUGCUGUCACUUAGAGAGUUGGCCGGGUCACGUUAGCUAAUUGGUAAGGUGACGGCUUAGCCAGGGAACGAGGCGGAGCCGACCGGCGAGGGUGGUCGGCCGCCCUGGAACUGAGACCCGCUACAGGCUCCUACGGGAGGCAGCAGUAGGGAAUCUUCAGCAAUGAGCGAAAGCCAGACGGAGCAACGCCAAGUGAGUGAUGAAGGUAUUCGGAUCGUACAACUAUGUUAUUCGGAAAGAACAAAUGUGUCAGUAACUAAGAACGUAUUGACGGUACCUACACAGAAAGCCACGGCUAACUACGUG